rnacentral:rRNA from 1 species
UGGGGAAUUUUGCACAAUGGGGGAAACCCUGAUGCAGCGACGCCGCGUGAUUUAGAAGGCCUUCGGGUUGUAAAAAUCUUUUGUAUGGGAAGGAAAUGACAGUACCAUACGAAUAAGGACCGGCUAAUUACGUGCCAGCAGCCGCGGUAAUACGUAAGGUCCGAGCGUUGUCCGGAAUCAUUGGGCGUAAAGGGUACGUAGGCGGAUAAGCAAGUUAGAAGUGAAAUCCUAUAGCUCAACUAUAGUAAGCUUUUAAAACUGCUCAUCUUGAGGUAUGGAAGGGAAAGUGGAAUUCCUAGUGUAGCGGUGAAAUGCGCAGAUAUUAGGAGGAAUACCGGUGGCGAAGGCGACUUUCUGGCCAUAUACUGACGCUGAGGUACGAAAGCGUGGGUAGCAAACAGG